UUCAAAGUAAAUCAGCUUGGAUGCUUUUGGCCAUUAUACAAUACAAUGUAUAUGAAAACAACAUGAAAUUUAUAAAAGAACAAAUGCAAUACAAAUUUAAAGUAUUAUGCUAUUAGUUUGCUACGACUACUAUAACAAAAUAACGUAGACUGACUGGGAGGCUUAACCAACAAUAAUCUAUUUUAUGAGAGUUUUGGACAAGAUCUAGGUGCCAGCAGGUACUGUUCUCCUGAGGUCUCUCUCUUUGACUUGCAGAGUCCUCCCUGUGUCCUUGCUUGGUCAUCUCUCUGUGCAGCAGCUCCCCAGUGUCUCUCUCCGUUGCCAAAUUUUCUUAUACAGACGACAGUCAGAUUGGAUCAGGGCUCACACUAACAGCUUCGUUUUAAUUAGUUACCUCUUUGAAGGCGAUACCUCCCAAAACAGUCACCUUCUGUGGCACUGAGUCAUAAGGCGUCAACACAUGAAUUCCGGGAAAACACACUUCAGCCCAUAACACUUACGUUGCUGGGGCUACUGCUCUAACAGCAACCUGCCCACAUUAGGCGCGUUACUGCUCUACAGCGAUAAAGUGAGCCAAUGGGUAGAGAAAUGUGGAAUAGCGCAUCCUGAACCGUGUGAGGGGCUCUGAUCAUCUGUCUGUGGGCUGAAUUCUGGCAAGUGUAGAGCAUCUUGUUAUUUCCUACCUAAUUAAUAGCAUAUCUUGUUUAGGGAGGAUGUAGGAAACUGUAGAGCUGGUUAUUCAUUUCAUGGACUUUAACUUCUGCUGUAUUACUAGCCAAAGUGCCUUUUAACUCAAAGAAAAUGGGCUCUGCAGAAACCUACAAGUUUCAAUGUUGUCAUAAGAGAAAUCAGUGCCUCGAGGAGACUGAGAAAUUUCUCAUAAGGAAGGAAGCAGUGAGGCAAAGGAUAACUAAGAAGAAAGAUAGCACCCACAGGGUUUUUAAAAUGUCUUUGAAGCCAGGACAAUAGACUGGGGAUAGGCAGGGUAUCUUACGAUUUCAAUAACUAAAAGGCAGCACACAUUUAUAACUGCUUUAAAGAAAGGAGACUUUCUUUCACCUUGGAGUUCCCACGCCUUAUACUCAGAGGAAGGCACGAGCUAAAAAUCAGCAAAAUGAUCCUCUGUUUUGUAGAUGAGCAACACAGAUCAUAGGAUUUUUUUCUCCAAAAUUCUAAGAGCUGUUUUGUUUAAUUGAAGAAAGAGAACUCCUGAAGGAUUAUUUAAGUGCCUGCAUGAAGGAGGAAAAUGAAAGAAGUUUCCGUUUACUGAGCACCUACUAUGCACUAAUUGAAAUAGCCAAUUUUAUGGCAUGUUUAAUAUUUUCUAGUCGAUGUUUUUCAUAGAUUUGCUCAUUCACAUCACAAGGAGCUUAUAAAAUAGAUACCAUGAUAAUCGUCACUUUAAGGAUAAGGAAAGGAUUACGGAUGAGAAGUAAAAUAUCUUGCCCAGGAAUAAUCAGGAUUUGGGCCCACAGAGGAUAACUUUAGAACCCCUGUGCUUAAAGACCUAGGACACAAAGUCAUCAUUAUCCCACUUGACCUUCUCCACAGCACUGGGAUGUACAGGUAUUUCCCCACCACACCAAUAAAGAAACUAAAACCAAGAAAGGCUGGAUAAUCAUUUGCUUUAGGUCACAGCUAGCAAAUCACAGAGCCAGAAUGGAAUGCCAGGAUUUUCUAACUCCAAAAUCCUUCCAAGAGUGACAUACUGCCUUUCUCUAUAGUUCUCUCAGGGUGGGUGAUAGAAGAAUAUAACAGGAAUAUUAAAACAUUAUUUCAUUCUUUAGCUAAGAAAGCACUGUAUCCUAAAUAGAAAGGUAUUUCCGACUAGAAUAUUUAUAAAGGUUAAUGAGAAACAAAAUGAACUGAAAACCAGCAGGGAAAUAUUCCCGGCUAUAAAUACCAAACUUAUACAUUUCUAAUUAUAUAAGAAAAUAUCCCAAGCAGAAAGUCAAAUUUUUUCAUCAGAUGCAGGUGAAUCAUCUGAGCAACAUUUUUACCACUUUCUAUCUCUAUUUUGAGGUUAACACUGACUGAACAUUGGCAAUAUCACAGUAUUCAAUCAAAUGUUGUUGAAGUAAAAUGUAGGUGCUUAAAAGGGGAAUUGAGGACUCAACUUCUGUGGCGAGGAUCUUCUCACCAAAUCAAAGAAGAGAAUCUGAUUUCUCCUGUCUUUCUCCGUGAAAAUUAUGACGAUGUUUUACAUUUUUAUCAAAAGGUGGAAAGGGGGUAAAAAGUGAUGGAGUAGAUUGGGCAUUUUUUAAUUUUCAUUUAUUUAUACAUUUUUGUCUUUUUAGGGCCACACCCUGGGCAUAUGGAAGCUCCCAGGCUAGGGGUUGAAUAGGAGCUGUAGCCACUGGCCUAUACCACAGCCACAGCAAUGCCAGAUCUAAGUCACAUCUGCAACGUACACCACAGCUCAUGGCAACAUGGGGUCCUUAAUCCACUGAGUGAGGCUGGGGAUCGAACCUGCAUCCUCAUGGAUACUAGUAAGAUUGGUUUCUGCUGAGCCAUGAUGGGAACUCCUGGAUUGGGAGUUUUUAAAAUGAAAGUAAACUUUUGCAAAGCUGACAGUAUACAUCUUAUAAAGGCCUCCUUUUCACCAAGUAUAUUCAUGAUUCAUAAGGCAGAUGCCCUGGUGGCAUCUAUCAGCAUCAGCUUGGGCAGCCUUGGCAGCAAACCUCCAAGUACAGGGAGGGACCACAGCAAGAUAACAGCGUUGAUCCAAAGCAAGCAGAGAAUCCAGGGCAAAUUCCCUAGGCCCGGGAGGAGUCUCUCAGCAGGUUCCAAAUCACUGCAUACAUGCCAGGAGUUCAUCAGUCUGUUAAACCGGCUUUUACUAAAGCCAGUUCUCUCUUAAACUAACAGAGAAAAUGAAAACCAGAGGGGGUCAGAUGAUAACUUGCCUUAGGUCACAGAGCUGGCAACUAACAGGAUUCCUUGUCCAUCAGACUAAUGGCAUCUCCUUUGUUAGAUUUAUCUACUCUAAUUUAUUAAAACUCCCUACUUACUGGACCCAGGAGGUUUCACAGUGUUGAAAACACCUAAAAACAAUGACAUCCGAUGUCACCAUCUUUUUCCCCUUGCUUCCUUUGGCAUUCAUCAUCCUGCCUUCCCUAUUCCUGUUAAUGUCAUCAACCCUUCUCUCCAAGUCAAGCAGGCUCAAAAUCAGAGUCAUGUUAAAUUCCUCUCCUGCUCAAGCUCGGCUGAUUCCGAGUCCACAUUAUCUCUAGGACACUGUCAACUACCUCUCAAUUAGACCAUAACAAAGGCUUCCUAAUCCUCUCCUUUCCCCUAAGCACAUUGCCUUCUAAAUCAUCCUUUCUCGAGUCUAUCCUUAUACCACAUCCAAAUUGAGCUUCCUAACAUGUCAUGAUGGUACUCCCCUAAUCAAAAUUCUUUUCUCCCAAGUUAUCCCAAGUGAUUUCUACUGUAUCCCACUUCAUUUUGAAAGCCAUAUAGCAAAUAAUCCAUGAAUAUGGUCUAUGUCAUGCAAGUUGGGUGUGAUCCUCUCAAACUCAUUCAUUUUUGUUUGUAACUUUUAGGUGAUACAUUUUAUUUCUCUUCAUUUUCUCACCUCUCACCCCACUCUUUGUAAUUUUGUCAAGGACAGAGACCACAUCACAGUUUUCCAUCUUUUAUCAUUGCUGCAUAGGUAGCCCAUACAUAUUCACUUUGGCUGAGUCCAGCCUAAUCAAAUGGACCGCAAUUAAAACGUCAAGGCCCACCUAGAGCUAAACCCUCAAGUUUAAGUGAAAUGAAACAAACGCAUAAGAACACUGACACACUUCACACUGCAGUGCAUCUACUAACUGCUAGACUCCGAGUUCAGUGCUUGGAGUCAAGAGAGAUCCAGACCUGCACAUGAACGGGUCCUGCUCUAAGGCAUGACUUUAGGGUGAAGAAAUGAAUAUCGGACAAGGUAGACAUGGUAGGUCACAUUUGAGGAAAGAAAAUGAAGAUGAACCAGAAAACAGACAAAUCAAUUAUGUCUUGGAAAGUACAGUCUGACUUCCUUUAAGCCAACUCCCUGAUGACCGUUUGGUCUAUUACAUUUUAAGGACCUAGCAAUAAAUGAUAGCAGAUUUCUAUCUGAUAAUCCCUUUUUCUUUUUCUUUCUUUCUUUUUUUUUUUUUUUUUUUUUUUUUUUUUUUUUUUUGUCUUUUCUCGGGCCGUACCCGCGGCAUAUAGAGUAGAUUCCCAGGCUAGGGGUCGAAUCAGAGCUGUAGCUGCUGACCUACGCCACAGCCACAGCAACACAGGAUCCAAGCCGCAUCUGAGACCUACUGAAGGCAACGGCGGAUCCCCAACCCACUGGGCGAGGCCAGGGAUCAAACCCGCAACCUCAUGGUUCCUAGUCUAUUCGGUAACCACUGAGCCAUGACAGGAACUCCCUUUGCUAUUCCCUUUUGAGGACAUACACACAGAUUAUGCCUUUCCCCGUUUGUGUCCUUUAUGUGAGCAGUAUCCAAGUGGCCUUCCCAC
rnacentral:lncRNA from 1 species